rnacentral:rRNA from 1 species
AGAGUUUGAUCCUGGCUCAGAAUCAACGCUGGCGGCGUGCCUAACACAUGCAAGUCGCACGAGAAAGGGUAGCAAUACCUGAGUACAGUGGCGCACGGGUGAGUAACACGUGAAUCAUCUACCUUCGAGUGGGGAAUAACUGGGAGAAAUCUCAGCUAAUACCGCAUAAUACCUACGGGUCAAAGCAGCAAUGCGCUUGAAGAGGAGUUCGCGGCAGAUUAGUUAGUUGGCGGGGUAAUGGCCCACCAAGACGAUGAUCUGUAUCCGGCCUGAGAGGGCGCACGGACACACUGGAACUGAAACACGGUCCAGACUCCUACGGGAGGCAGCAGUGGGGAAUUUUGCGCAAUGGGGGAAACCCUGACGCAGCAACGCCGCGUGGAGGAUGAAAUCCCUUGGGAUGUAAACUCCUUUCGAUCGGGACGAUUAUGACGGUACCGGAAGAAGAAGCCCCGGCUAACUUCGUGCCAGCAGCCGCGGUAAUACGAGGGGGGCAAGCGUUGUUCGGAAUUAUUGGGCGUAAAGGGCGCGUAGGCGGUUUGACAAGUCUGAUGUGAAAUCUAUGGGCUCAACCCAUAGCCUGCAUUAGAAACUGUCGGGCUUGAGUAUGGGAGAGGUGAGUGGAAUUUCCGGUGUAGCGGUGAAAUGCGUAGAUAUCGGAAGGAACACCUGUGGCGAAAGCGGCUCACUGGACCAUAACUGACGCUGAGGCGCGAAAGCUAGGGGAGCAAACAGGAUUAGAUACCCUAGUAGUCC